rnacentral:rRNA from 1 species
GAUGAACGCUGGCGGCGUGCUUAACACAUGCAAGUCGAACGAGAAGUGAAGACGGAAACCUUCGGGCGGAAGGCUUUAUUUCGAGUGGCGGACGGGUGAGUAACGCGUGGGUAACCUGCCUCAUACAGGGGGAUAACAGUUGGAAACGACUGUUAAUACCGCAUAAGACCACAGCACCGCAUGGUGCGGGGGUAAAAGCUCCGGUGGUAUGAGAUGGACCCGCGUUCGAUUAGCCAGUUGGCGGGGUAACGGCCCACCAAAGCGACGAUCGAUAGCCGAUCUGAGAGGAUGACCGGCCACAUUGGGACUGAGACACGGCCCAAACUCCUACGGGAGGCAGCAGUGGGGAAUAUUGCACAAUGGGGGAAACCCUGAUGCAGCGACGCCGCGUGAGUGAAGAAGUAUUUCGGUAUGUAAAGCUCUAUCAGCAGGGAAGAAAAUGACGGUACCUGAGUAAGAAGCCCCGGCUAACUACGUG